rnacentral:rRNA from 1 species
GUUGAACGCUGGCGGCGUGCCUAAUACAUGCAAGUCGAGCGAAAAGAUGAGGAGCUUGCUCCUCUGACGUUAGCGGCGCACGCGUGUGUAACAUGUGGAUAACCCUCCUAUAUGACGGGGAUAAACUCGUGAAAACGGAGCUUAUACCGGAUAAUAUAUUGAACCGCAUGGUGCAGUAGUGAAAGGCGGUUUUGCUGUCACUUUUAGAUGGUCCCGCUCCGCAUUAGCUGGUUGGAGAGGUAACGGCUUACCAGGGCAACGAUGCGUAGCCGACCUUGGGGAGUAAUAGGCCAAACUGAAACUGAGACACGUCCCAGACCCCUAGGGAAGGCAGCAGGAGGGAAUCUGCCGAAAUGGGGGAAAGCCUGACGGAGCAUCGCCGCGGGGGUGAUGAAGCUCUUCGGUUGGGAAAACGCUGUUAUGAGGGAAAAACAAAUGAGCAAGUAACUAUGAACGAUUGAACGGAACCGAAGCAGAAGGCCCCGCUAACUUCCGG